ensembl:rRNA 5S_rRNA 5S ribosomal RNA
GCCGGCAGCUAGCUCUCUGCAACUUUCAAAUGGUCCACCACUGGAGCUAAGCAGAGCUGCUCCUAGUCACUACCUGGAUGGGAGACCACAUGGGAAAGCUAGGUUGCUGCCAGAA